GCGGGGGUAGCCAAGCCUGGUCAAAGGCGCAGGGCUUAGGGCCCUGUCCCGUAGGGGUUCGUGGGUUCGAAUCCCACCCCCCGCA
rnacentral:tRNA from 1 species